UGUGGGUGUUUGAAUGGACACCCAACCAUGUCCUUUGAGUCCUUUCCUUAAGAUGCGUUAAACACUGCUAGAUUUAGUGAUGUGAACAGUGGUGUCCUGCAGGAGAUGCGGCUGACCAGUUUCCAGUGCUGGCCAGAGACAGACACCAGUUCAGCCUGCUGCAGGAAGCUUUGAGAAGACCUGGUCUACUGUGAACAGAAUACUGCACCAUCAUGUCCUGAUAUCCUUGAUGUUUCUGAUGCUCUCCUCACAAUCCCUGUAUCUACAGCUGACUGUGAAAGAGGGUUCAGUGUUAUGAAGCAGGUAAAGAGUGACUGGGGCUCACACCUAAAAGAUGAGACCCUCUCUGACCUCCUUAAACCCAGUUGUGCUCACCUGACAUCAAAGACUUUGAUCCAACCACAGCCAUUGACAUCUGGCACGCUGACAGUUUGUGCUCACGCAGACCUGACUUUCUGCACAAACACCGAACAAGAGGAACAGAGUGUGGCUCAGAUUCUGAUGACACCUCUGAAGAAGAAGAAGAGCUCUGAAGACGUGAUUCAGAUGAUAGAUGAAGUGUUUGCACUUUCUGUGCAGAUUUUGUUGUAUGCAUUGUACUUUAUAUCUGUUUUUCAUGCCAACAAUGUUAAUAAAAUGAUCAAAUGCAUUCAGUGGCACUCAUAAUUUAUCUUAUUUUCACGGGAAAAUAAAAAUGGCUAGUGGAAAUUCUGAUUGGCUGGUAACUUUAGAAAACAAUUGUAAUUUUGAACCCUGGUUAGCAGUAUAAGUGAAGGGAGGUUUUUGUCCCAGUAAAGUUGCAUUCAUUUAAUACUAUUUUUAAGUAUGAUAAUUCAAACACACUAUAUUGUUGCACACUGUUUUAUAAUGUACUACAGGACUGAAAUAUAAAUAUCUAGCACAUGAGUGAUAGCGGGCUGUAG